rnacentral:lncRNA from 1 species
CCCAGCACAGGGGCUUAUCAGUGCCACCCAAUCAGCUGCUUGAAAAAGUCACAAAACCUCAAUUAAAACAAAGAAAAUGAUAUGUUUUGUUUGUUUCUUGAUUUUUUUGGGUUUUUUUUUCCCUGUGAGCAAUAAAAACCAGGUACUUCAGCAAAGCAAGAUAACUCAAGAGCUGAUGAAUAAAUAAUACCUGUGGAUGAAUAAUUUAAAUGUAGUGUCAGAUGCCUUGAACAAUCUUUAUCCUUGAAACAAUAAGAUGUGACCACGUGCAGUUUGUGUGCCAGACAGAGAGGGUGGAGGAUUAAAACCCUGACCUGGGCUCGAGCAACAUCCCACACAGCACUUUCCAGGAAACAAGAGCCCUAAAUUCCUGCCCUGAAGUUUAGGUAGGACAAGUGUCUUUUCCCAGGUUGUUUUGCUUUCCCUCAGCUGCUGAGGAUGGAGGAAAUUGGUCAGGUGAGGCUGAUCAAGGUGUUUCAGCCACACAGGGAACUUAAAUAGCAGCUGAUAUACAGGUGGGGGGAAAAAAAGUUUUCCCAGGAUUUUCUCCUUAAAAGAGAGAUUGAGAAGUUUCACAAGGAAAAGGAGCCUUUAACUCCUCCUUGCUUUAUUUAAGAUAACUCAUUAAUGUUUUGCCUUCAGGUGGUUUUGGUAAUUGAAAAUCCAGGCUCAGGAAUCCUUAAAUUCUCCUGGCUGGGGCUGUGGUGGCCUUGCUGCUCUCCAGAUGUGUCCCCACGCCAGGCUCCUCUGCAGGGACAUGUCCUGAUGUCCUUGCUGAAAUGCUUCAAAUUAGAUGGCCGCAGCAAAAUGAGGUUUUCAGACCUGGCAGUGGGAUAGAUUCAGUGAAAUAGAUUCAGUGAAAUUCCUGCUUGAAGUUGUGCUGUGAGGGUGGAAUUGUGACCUGGCAUCGAGUGACACCUCUGUGUAAGGUGGAAAAUGUCGUCUUGCGAGGCUGAAUUUUCACGGCCAUCACUCAGAAGAAGGGAGCAAACACAUCCCAAUGAUGCUCACAGAUAAUUAUGCCACUUCUUCAGCCUAAAUACCUUGGAAUCCACAAAGACAGCUCUUAGACAAAGGGGACACCGGCAAAAUUCCCUGCAAUAGAUUUCUCCCUUCAUAAUGACAGGAACAUCUCUCUCAAUAUUACUCAGCUAAUGAAGGAAUAGAUCUGCUGCGAAGUUCCUAGGAGGCUCAUUUUCUUGAGUACAGUAGUAAAAGUUAGCUGAUGAAUGACCUAAACUGCUUAAUGCUUCUACUUAUAACUUCUGAGCAGCAAGGCGUAGCUGGGAGAGAGCUGAAGGAGUUAUCCUCGGGAGGCCCCAGUGUCCUUGUAGGUUGUCAGAGUCAAUGAGCCAGGUUUAUUUCAAAUGGCUCCUUAAAUGAACAUUUAUUUUGUGCCAGUAACACGUUUUUGAUUAACAGCUCCUUUUGACUAAUUUGCUUCCCAAAAC